rnacentral:rRNA from 1 species
GGAGGACGAUCUAUGUCUUUCCAUCACACUACAUGUAUGUCUACAGAACGUUGAAAGUCGUCUCGACCCUUGACGGGGUUGGACGCAAAACUAUAAUACAACUUUCAGCAACGGAUCUCUUGGCUCUCGCAUCGAUGAAGAACGCAGCGAAUUGCGAUAA